rnacentral:sRNA from 1 species
GCUGGGCACAGUGGCAUAUGCCUGUAAUCCCAGCAUCUCUGGAUGCUGAGGCCAGGGAAUCACUAGUUCAAAGCCAUUGGCAAAAGCUAGGUGCUAAGCAACUCAGUGAGACCCUGUCUCUA